rnacentral:rRNA from 1 species
UACAGAGGGUGCAAGCGUUGUUCGGAAUUAUUGGGCGUAAAGCGCGUGUAGGCGGCUUUGCAAGUCGGGUGUGAAAGCCCUCAGCUUAACUGAGGAAGUGCGCCUGAAACUUCAGAGCUUGAGUACCGGAGAGGAUGGCGGAAUUCCCCAAGUAGAGGUGAAAUUCGUAGAUAUGGGGAGGAACACCGGUGGCGAAGGCGGCCAUCUGGACGGAUACUGACGCUGAGACGCGAAAGCGUGGGUAGCAAACAGG